CUAAAGGAUGCUGGCAGGGCUGGAAUUGUAUUUUUCCAAAGAUAUGUUGAAGUCCCCACCUCCAGCACCUGUGAAUAGGACUUUGUUUGGAAAUAAUUGCAGGUGUAAAGAUGAGGUCAUGCUGGUGUCGGCAGAGGAAGAGGAUCCCAGGCUAAGGGGGCAGUGUUUGCAACAGUUCUGGAAAGGCAAAACCUUAGCAAGUUUAAGGAACUGGAAGAAAGCUUAUGAGGUCCAGCCUCACCUGUCCACUGGAGCUGUGGACCAGAUGGCAGGAGCGUCAUGGAACUUGUCUGGAUGCUGGCAAUGGUGAUGGGGGCCAGGGAGGUUACUCAGCAGGAGAGUGGCAGGACCUGGUGUGUGAGAGGAUGAUUCUGCCACAGGUUAUAGAGGGCAUGGAGGGAGCCCAGAAAGGUCAUUGCAGGGAGAUGGUGCAGUGAGAAGGAGCUGGUGGAAGGUGUAAAGUCUUUUAGGCCAACUGACUGCACCAUGGACUGCGUGGUAACCUCUGUGACCUGCACGUACACCUCCAGAUGAGUUCCUGCAAAUAGAAAGUCUGAAGUAAUUAGAAAACCACAAAAGGAGAAUGGCCAACCCCUGUGGUGCCUAAUUAACUUUGAGACAUUCUUCUAUUGUUCCUUAUUCCUGCCUCAACUGAUAAGGCAACUGAACUUUGUAACUGACCUUGCUCAACUGAUAGGCCAACCUCGUGACACCAGACCCUAUGGCCCCCUCCCAGCUUGAAAAACUACUCUGAACUGUAACUUCUGUAAUUUUCCACUGCCUACCCCAAACCUA